AUGCCCAUGGCGGCGGCGCGCACCCGGGAGUGCGGGGAGGAGAGGUCGGCCAGGCCGAGGCGCUCCAGGGUGGUGGCGUACUCGACGUGCUGCGCCGCCGCGUCGCGCCGGUACACCACUGCGCCCUCCCACGGCGACGGGCCCUCCUCCCCCUCCGCCUCCCCGUCGGCGAACCCAUCGAAGUCUUCCAGGUCGAGGGUGAGGAACCCGUCAUCGCCGUCCUCCGGGUCACGGCGUGGCGGCCGCCGUCCAGGCGUCCAGCCGAGGAGGCGAGCGGACGGAGCUGGAGCAGGGGGUGGGGUGGGCGGCGAUGGGGAGAGGUGGCCGCCGUCGCUGGCGGGGCGCGGCGGAGGAGGAGGAUGGACGGGCAGUGGCAGCGCACGGCGGCGCCGACGACGACGCCGAGCGGAUAAUACACCAUCCUCUCCUUUCUUCUCUCUCUGCAUUUAG
rnacentral:rRNA from 1 species